AUGUUAAGACCAUGUUUAGCCAUUGUUCUCUCUCUUACGUCUGGUCUUCGCAAGAGAAGGUCACGGUUGUUUUAUAGGGUGUCUUUCAUUUAUUUGGCGUGGGCUGCGGCCAAACUGUAGCCUGUGUGGAGUUUGGUUAAUAAACCGUAAAUUCGUAAACUCAAUUUUCUGUCUGGACAAUUGUUCCUUUAUGAGCUAGCCAGGACAUUACAAUACAUUAUAACAAUCCCAAGUACAUUUGAUGCGUCUCUAAAAUUACACAUUGUAACAAUCCCAGAUCUGUUGAGAUGUAACCUAACGUAGCAGACGUAAAAUAGAUAUCUAAUAUCGUUUUAAUGCAUUUCGUGUAUUGGUUGUGGUGGAUAGAGACUAGGCCAAUGAAAACGUAGGAAAAUGAAUUGAGCGUUGCAUUAUGGGUAAAUAUACUGUAUAUGCCGGAAGUUGAAGACAGGCUACAUCAGCUUAGCUCAGAAUUUCUUGCAUAAAUUGUGACAGACAGUACAUUAUUUAACUGUUGCUAAUUAUAUCUACCUCGUCCAUCUACUUGAGUUUGACCACCUGCCCGAUAUGCAACCAGUAAAGGCUACUGGACAGACCCCUAUGUCCAGUAUUUUGUGAGGCCAGUAGGAGAACGAAGGGCUCCAGAAAUCAACUGAGGUUAAUAUGCCUGUUUGCGGGGAAUGAACCACCUGGAUGCCUUCCUCAGGAAGAUGGUGUGUAACUGUCAGAUAGUGAACCUGGGGGCAGGGCUGGACACCACUUUCUGGAGGUUAAAGGAUGAAAACCUCGAAACCAUGUCGACUUUCCGAUGAUUGCUGGCAGGAAAAUACACAACAAAAAAUAGCCACAGCCUAGACUCAAACAGGCACUGCAUCAUCGGUGCUGACCUCAGGGACAUCCCAGGCCUAGAUGACAAAUUGAAGAAGUUCCACCUCAACCCAGAGUCAGUGAAAAUAACAUAUUGAAUACGUUUUAAUAUUUUGUUGGACAGCUUUGCAAGAGUCUAGCCAAUUGAAGUAGCAGUAUACGGCUGUAUCAGUGGAACAGCAGUUGUGCUGUAGCAAUACAAUACAAUAUGUUUGGUAUGGGAUUGAUGUUUUGGGCUGGUAGUGUUCUUUCACUGUACCUAACUCGUAUUUAUGGUCCUGGCCAACGAGGCCGAAUGUUCCGCAGUCAGUUCCUGAUCACGACAAUCAUAUACAGUUCAGUCAGAAGUAGAGGUCGACCGAUUAUGAUUUUUCAAUGUCGAUACCGAUUAUUGGAGGACCCAAAAAAAAAAAGACAAUACCGAUUAAUCGGCCAAUUUAUUUAUUUGUAAUGACAAUUACAACAAUACCGAAUGAACACUUUUAUUUUAACUUAAUAUAAUACAUCAAUAAAAACAAUUUAGCCUCAAAUAAAUAAUGGAACAUGUUCAAUUUGUUUUAAAUAAUGCAAAAACAAAAGUGUUAGGGAAAAAAGUAAAAGUGCAAUAUGUGCCAUGUACAAAAGCUAACGUUUAAGUUCCUUGCUCAGAACAUGAGAACAUAUGAAAACUGGUGGUUCCUUUCAACAUGAGUCUUCAAUAUUUCCAUGUAAGAAGUUUCAGGUUGUAGUUAUUAUAGGAAUAUUUCUCUAUACCAUUUGUAUUUCAUAUACCUUUGACUAUUGGAUGUUCUUAUAGGCACUAUAGUAUUGCCAGUGUAACAGUAUAGCUUCCGUCCCUUUCCUCGCCCUUACCUAGGCUCAAACCAGGGACACAUCGACAACAGCCACCUUCGAAGCAUCGUUACCCAUCGCUCCAUAAAAGCCACGGCCCUUGCAGAGCAAGGGGAACAACUACUCAGAGCGAGUGACGUCACCGAUUGAAACGCUAUUAGCGCGCACCCCGCUAACUAGCUAGCCAUUUCACAUCAGUUACACUAGCCUAAUCUCGGGAGUUGAUAGGCUUGAAGUCAUAAACGGCUCAAUGCUAAAAGCACACCGAAAAGCUGCUGGCAAAUGCACAGAAGUCCUGUUUGAAUGAAUGCUUACGAGCCUGCUGCUGCCUACCACCGCUCAGUCAGACUGCUCUAUCAAAUAUCAAAUCAUAGACUUAAUUAUAACAUAAUAACACACAGAAAUAUGAGCCUUAGGUCAUUAAACUCAGUUUUUCACAAUUCCUGACAUUUAAUUCAAGUAAAAAUUCCCUGUUUUAGGUCAGUUAGGAUCACUACUUUAUGUUAAGAAUGUGAAAUGUCAGAAUAAUAGAGAGAAUUAUUUCUUUCAGCUUUUAUUUCUUUCAUCACAUUCCCAGUGGGUCAGAAGUUUACAUACACUCAAUUAGUAUUUGAUAGCAUUGCCUUUCAAUUGUUUAACUUGGGGAAAAACAUUUUGGGUAGCCUUCCACAAGCUUCCCACAAUUAGUUGAGUGAAUUUAGCCCAUUCAUCCUGACAGAGCUGGUGUAACUGAGUCAGGUUUGUAGGCCUCUUUGCUCACGCACACUUUUUAAGUUCUGCCCACAAAUUUU